CGUGCGACUGCUGAGUCGCACCCAGGCGUUGUGAUUUUAGGUGAGUCAUUUAGUAUCUGUGAGCCUUCGCCGUGUCCCCCGUGAGAUGGGCUGAUCGCGGGUGUGUCCCGAGCCCGGGAAGGCCGAUGGCGGGUGUGUCCCGGAGCCCGGGAAGGCCGAUGGCGGGUGUGUCCCGGAGCCCGGGAAGGCUGAGCCGGCGGAGCGUGUCCUGCAGGGCCGGGCGCAGCCCAGCGCCCACUCAGCGGGGCCGGCGUCGCUGGGAGUGUUAUCUGCAGCCGCGUGGAGGGACUACCAGCCCUCACUUCUAACAGUGAAAAUCUUCUAGAAAACUUCAGAGUUCUGAGACAAAAGGCAGAACCGUCCGUCAAGAGCCGUGGUCCUUCAGAAGGCAACUUUACACCACAGCCGUGGGAUUCCGUGGGGAGGUCGCAGUGUGGACAGAAGACCCAGCAGUAGCACCAAAGGCUUCCGGACUCCUGAGAGGCCCUGGAGGGUGCAGCCUUCGGGAGGAGGCUGAGGCAAGUCAAGUCAGCGCCAAGAGGUACAAUGGGAAUAACAGUAUAAUUACCAUGAUGACAAAUCUGCAAAUGAUGUUCCUUAUGAAAAUGAGUUCUCCUUUGGAUAUGCUGUACUUCCUCAAAAGGGCCGCUGAGUGGCAGAUCUCCAGGUGGUGCUUCUUCUAAGUCAAAGGGAGUAUCUGUCGGCAGAAAUGUCUUAGGAGUGACCAGGAAGAGAAUCUUUGUCUUUGGGAAACACCUGAGCACUUCACUGCUGGGGAGUGGGACAGAGGAGUCACUCCCUUCAUAACAUUUCCAAUGGUAUCUCUGUGCUGACUUUUUAAAUUUUCUUUGAGUAAUUGACUUCUCAGCCCCCCUUUUUUUUGGUGAGGAAGAUUGGCCCUGAGCUAACAUCUGUUGCCAAUCUUCCUCUUUUUGCUUGAGGAAGCUUGUCACUGAGCUAACAUCU
rnacentral:lncRNA from 1 species